UACGUAGGAGACGAGCGUUGUCCGGAGUUACUGGGCGUAAAGGGUGCGCAGGUGGCGGCGCGCGUGGGGGGUGAAAUCGCCCGGCUUAACUGGGCGGGGGCCUUCCAGACGGCGUGGCUUGAGCAGCGGAGGGGGACGUGGAAUUCCGGGUGGAGCGGUGAAAUGCGUAGAGAUCCACAGGAACUCCGGUGGCGAAGGCGGCACGCUGGACCCCAUCUGACGCUGAGGCGCGAAAGCCAGGGGAGCGAACGGG
rnacentral:rRNA from 1 species